rnacentral:misc_RNA from 1 species
GAAAAGUUAGAUAACCCUUUCAAUCAGCAAGACAAUUUAAUUUACAUUAGUAAAACAACUCUGGAGAAACCAAUAGCCUCACAAAUUUAAUAUACAAAAUGAGUAGGUCUCCUUAACUCUUUGAUUUUGAGUGCUUGACAAGCCAAUCAAUAACAGAGUCAAUAUUGGUGGAAUUUUUGCAUGAUAUCAUAUAGCAGCACACCUCUCUGUCUGUUAUAGAAUUCAAUCCCAUCUCAUCAGUCAAAGCCUGCUUGGACAGAGCUCCAGGUUUGUCAAUCUUGUUCCCCAAUACCAGCAACGGAAUACCGCUCAAUGAUGUCUUGUUCAGCAGGUCAUGGAGUUCACUUUUAGAAAUGCUAAGAUUAUCAUGAUCAGCAGCAUCAACAACAUAAACUAUAGCUGAAACUGCACGACAAUAUCUUUCCCACAUACUUCGGAAUCUGGGUUGACCUCCAAGGUCCCACAAUUUUAUAGUGACAUUACCUUUAGUCACUUUCCUCAUGUUAAAUCCCACCGUUGGUAUCA